rnacentral:lncRNA from 1 species
AAAGGACUAAAGCCUGGCUCUGAUACAGAUUUGAUGGAAAAAGAUAAAUGCAAAAAGAAAACCAGAGCAGGAAAAGCAAACGUAGCAAAACUUGUAAACUUUUUCUUCUGAUUUCCAGUCUAUGUAAAACAAGUAAAAAGAGCCUCUAUGUAUAGGCUUACAUAAAACAAACAGAGCUAAAAAAAACCGUCAUCAAAUCCCACUACUCUGCUACCUAUUUGAAACUGUAAAAGAAACUUACUUCAAUAUAGGAAACUAACAGAUAAGAGAAAGACUCAUUCAAACUUUGAAUUACAUUUCAACACAUUUCAGUGUUUCGCCUAUUCCUUUUCCAUUUUCAGAUGAUGAAUCAAACUAUCCCUUCUCCCUCUUUGCCAUUGCAAUUAAAAGAAAGAAGAAGAGAAAUUUCAACGGAAACAAUGUCAUUUUGCGUGCUUGGAGAGCCAAGCUUCGGUUUGUAUCUCGUGCCAAGCUUGACAAAA